UGAAUGUUGAGUUUAAAACAGGGAGACCUUUUAACCUUUGCCUGUGCCACAACACAAGGUGGUGCUACCGUAUCUCCGGGUUCCGUUGCUAUGCAGUAGCAUCUCUGCAACCAGUGCCGCGUGUUUAAGGCUCGGCGAGCAAUCCUCAUGGAGAGUUACAACCUACAGACUUUCUGUCUCUGCCGUAUAUAUAUUCCACAACAUGGGGACGUGGUUGAGAAAGCUGUUGAAAGUUUCGCUAGACCCUCAGCAGCCCCUGUGGCCUGACAAGCCUCUCGCGUGAGACACUCCAGAUGGGAUUCCACACUUAGAGCCGUCCUAAUGACCUGGAGUAUCACCAGAACCCUCAUUGACCCCCCAUAGUGACCGUCUCGUGCCUCCACCAGCGAACUCCUAGAACAAUGGGUGCCUGCAGGUAUUUAUACAGAUCGGUAAAGGUGUGAAAGGUAUUGUCCACGCCCCUGGACAUGUGACGCCUCCUGGUGAGUUCAAUGUAAUUCGGAUUUUGAAUGUCUCUCAGUCAACAUCAGUUCAUCAAGUAUUACGUGCAUGCGUUUCGGUUG
ensembl:lncRNA